rnacentral:lncRNA from 1 species
UAUUUUCUCUACUUUCAGAAGCUCCUCCGUCUCCUUCAGCCUACAGGCUGACCUCUAAAGAUGAUGAGGAUUUGGAAAUGUGCCUGAUCACAGAUUACUCCCCUGAAAAUGUCACUUUUUACACUGCUGAGAAGGCCACAUCUGCUGUUGUGGAGGUGGCAACAGCUGAGAACAGCGCGGAAUCGAGCUACCUGUCAACCUACUGGGCCAGGAGAGAUGAAAUGCAGUGUGGUGCCAGUCAUGUGGGCUUUGGAGAACUGGAGGGCGAGGACCCUGAAAGUGGUGCCAGCACUGUCUGUGUUACAGGGCUGUCCCUACACUUCAGGACAGAUGAACACCUGAACACACUGUCUUUAUCACAGCUGGGUCUGAAAAUAAUUUUAAUGAAAGGAUUAAUUUUUAAUGUGGUGAUGACAAUGCUCCUGUGGAAAAAAGAAAAUUGAAAGUAACCGGAUGGUGCAGUCCAAAAAAAUCUCCUGAGGAAUCUUUGAGAGACCAUUGAGAGCAAGAGUGAACACAGGAAUAUUCCUGAUGCAAGGAACAUCUCUUGUUGUUCUUAUAUAUCACACCAACCGUUCUAUUCUAAAUUGCUUUGUUUGCAUUGCUACAAAAUUACUCAAAACUAAGCUUAAAAUUUGCAGCUUUCUGCCCCCCCGAAUGGUUCAUUCACCUCUUCUGCAGGCAGCAGACAUUGCUAUAAAUAUAGAUUGCCAAACAUCACUGUUACUUGCACUAAAAUGACAAUUUCUGCCUGGAGCAGUGCUGUUUGUUGAAAACUGUGAGCUAAAUAUCACCUGAAUGUAAAUUUUUCCUAUUUUGGUAGAUUCAGGGUAUGCAUGUCUCUUAGGGUGCACCCCCUAGCCACCUUUUCAUGUACAAAUAAAACAAUUUGAAAAGCAAAGGGAGACUUUCUC